UGGGGAAUCUUGCACAAUGGGGGAAACCCUGAUGCAGCGACGCCGCGUGAGUGAUGAAGUCCUUCGGGAUGUAAAGCUCUUUCGACAGGAACGAUAAUGACGGUACCUGGAGAAGAAGCUGCGGCUAACUACGUGCCAGCAGCCGCGGUAAUACGUAGGCAGCAAGCGUUGUUCGGAAUUAUUGGGCGUAAAGAGUAUGUAGGCGGUUCGCUAAGUCUGAUGUGAAAUCUCCUGGCUUAACUGGGAGGGUGCGUCGGAUACUGGUGGGCUCGAGUACGGGAGAGGGAAGCGGAAUUCCUGGUGUAGCGGUGAAAUGCGUAGAUAUCAGGAGGAACACCGGUGGUGUAGACGGCUUCCUGGACCGUAACUGACGCUGAGAUACGAAAGCGUGGGUAGCAAA
rnacentral:rRNA from 1 species